AUAUGGUACCCCAGACAACCUGUGAUGAUAGUAGAAGCUAUAAGAGUAAGUUUGUGCUUCUUUUCUAGUGGUUUUGGUGUGAGAAUUGGUCUAUAUCAAACUAGCUUACCAGUAUAAACUACAAAGCUACAAAGAUUUCAUAUAAAAUUUUAACAAUUCUAUCAAUCCAGAUACAUCCACUCUAGAUGCAUCAUUGUUUAUAAAGAUACUUGUGACCCUACAAGUAUAAGAGUGUCUAAAAAUACUUUCUUAGGAAAUAUGAGAAAAUCAAAAUUUUCAAGUAAAUACUGAUCAUUAUUA
rnacentral:lncRNA from 1 species